rnacentral:ncRNA from 1 species
ACUUUAUAUGCGGGAGAGUCUGUUAAAUCAGCACCGAAGGAGCAAAGCCCAGGAAACUCUCAGGUAAAUGGACCGUAUAUAAAAU